UACGUAGGGGGCGAGCGUUGUCCGGAUUUAUUGGGCGUAAAGAGCGUGUAGGCGGCCAGGUAGGUCUGCUGUGAAAACUCGAGGCUCAACCUCGAGACGUCGGCGGAAGCCAUCUGGCUAGAGUCCGGAAGAGGAGAGUGGAAUUCCUGGUGUAGCGGUGAAAUGCGCAGAUAUCAGGAAGAACACCCGUGGCGAAGGCGGCUCUCUGGGACGGUACUGACGCUGAGACGCGAAAGCGUGGGGAGCGAACAGG
rnacentral:rRNA from 1 species